rnacentral:rRNA from 1 species
AUGCUUCAUCUCUAUGGCUGCAGCCAGUUAGAGGAGCUCCCAAAUGAAGCUCGCAACCUUGUUAGCCUUGUAUACUUGAACCUCACAUCAAAGCAGAAGUAUCUAAGGCUGUGGGGUUGGCCCUCUCUCGCGAUUCUGAAAAUGAGCUAUUGUUAUGAACUGGUAUCAUUGGAGGAGGGUUUUGACAGCUUGAGAGCCCUCCGAGAGCUACUCAUCUUCGAUUGUCCGAAGCUGGCCGCUCUCCCCUCCAGCAUAUGGCAGCUCUCCACACUUGUUGCAUUGAGUAUUAGUGGCUGUGGAGAGCUAGAUUUGAUGGUGCCGGCUGGGGAAGCCUCGGGAGGACUACAUAGUCUUCAGAACCUGCAUCUUGGUCGUCUUCCAAAGUUGGCACACCUUCCAGAGAGCUUUAAGUCUGCUUCUUCCUCUCUUCAAUAUAUUCAGAUUGUCAGUUGCGAAAACCUGGAGAGGCUGCCAAGCUACAUCCAAGACUUCCGUUCUCUUAAGAGAGCCGUGAUUAACGGCUGCCCUGAGCUGAGCAAAAGAUGCGCGGCCGAAUCCGGAGAGGAUUACCCUUUUGUAAGCCAUAUUCCCGAGGUGUAUAUGGAAGGGACUCUGCUAUCGAAAGCAGGCCCAUCUGCUGGAGAAUCCUCUUCACUCGAAUUAGAGCUAGCUUUUGGAGAAGCAAAGCCAUGGCCUGGGCUCCUAGCCCCCUCGGGUAGGGCCGGUAGGUGUGUGUCCGAGUUCAAUUAG